rnacentral:rRNA from 1 species
AUUAUUGGUUAAUUAAAUUUUUAUUUUAUUUUGUUUUUGAAAUUAUUCUUUUUUUUAGUAGUUUAAUAGAAAAGAGUUGGGUUAUGAUAGAUUAUUAGUAAAGUGAUUGAAAGUUGAAAGAAUAUUUAUUUGUUUAAAAGAAAAGUUUAGUUUUUGUACCUUGUGUAUCAGGGUUGAUUAAUUGAAUAUUAAAUAUAUUAAUUUUCUCGAAUUAGGAAGGGCUAUUGAUUUAUUAAUUUAAUUGUAGCAUAAAUUUUUUUAAUAGAUCAAUAGAAAUGAAAUGUUAUUCGUUUCCUGAUAUAUCUAGUUUUUUAAGAAAGGAAUUAAAUUCUGUUAUUUGUUUGAUUAAUAAUUUUGUGGAUAGUUUUAAUUGGCAAAUAUUAAAUGUUUAAUGGGAUGAGCUUUUAAGCAUAUAACUAAAAGAAUAAUUUAUGGGUAAUAAUUUGUACAAUUAAUAUUGUUGAUCAAUAAAAUGAUUUUAUAGUUGAUUUUUAUUUUUAAGGAUUUUUAUUUUGUUUAGGUUAUUUAUUGAAAUAUAGGUUUUAAUUUUAAUUAUCUAGGGAUUAUGAUUAAAUUAGUAAAUUGUAAUUAAUGUAUAGUUAUAUCUUACUUGAUAGGUCUUUUUAAGGAAUUCGGCAAAAUUACUUUUCGCCUGUUUAUUAAAAACAUGUCUUUUUGAUUAUAAUUUAAGGUCUAAUCUGCUCAAUGAGGAAUUAAAUUGCCGCGGUAUUUUGACCGUGCAAAGGUAGCAUAAUAAUUAGUUUUUUUAUUGAAAGCUGGAAUGAAUGAUUGAACGAGAGAGUUACUGUCUCUUAAAGAUUUAAUUUUUGAAUUUAACUUUUGAGUUAAAAGGCUUAAAUUUUUUUUAAAGACGAGAAGACCCUAUAGAGUUUAAUAUUUUAUUAAUUAAUUAUAAUUGUUUGAUAUUUGAAAUUUUUUUUUAAUAAAUUAUUUGGUUGGGGUGACUUGAAGAUUUAAAUAACUCUUCUAAAAUAAUUAUCAUUGAUUUGUGUUUUGAGAAUCUAGUUUUUCUAAAUAUAAGAUAAAUUACCUUAGGGAUAACAGCGUAAUUUUUUUUUAGAGUUCUUAUUGGGAAAAAAGUUUGCGACCUCGAUGUUGGAUUAAAAUUAAUUUUUGGUGUAGAAGCUGAAUAAUUAGGUCUGUUCGACCUUUAAAUUUUUACAUGAUCUGAGUUUAAACCGGUGUGAGCCAGGUUGGUUUCUAUCUUGAAUUUGAUAUUAUGCUUUAGUACGAGAGGACCGAGUAUUAAAUAUUUUUAUUUUAUGACUGAAUAUUAUUA